rnacentral:lncRNA from 1 species
CUAACAACCAACAAUUCACUUGCCCUCGGCACAAUCUGACGCCAAAACGGCGAUCCGGGUCUGCCGUCAAUCUCGACGGCACCCAACAGUCUGGAAUAGUCUGAAAGCUACUGCAAAAAUAAACUCGGCAUCUCAGCACGAGCGUAACAGCUAUCUAAACUACUUGGGAUAUCCGCCACGCUGAAACUGCGACGAUACAAUCUAACAACGGUUCCUAGAGCUAAAUCAGAUAGUUUAAGCAUGUGACAGGUUCAAAUCGCAGGUUUUCUCCUAAGUCAUAUCCAAGUCCAAUAUGUUGUCACGCCCCGGAUUACACGUUUCCCGGGCACGCCGACAAAUCCGCCGUAUACAAAGAAAUUUUCCCUCUAUACGAAGCGACAGCUGUACCUGUAAACCAUACAAUACUACGAACAGUAGUAUAGAGCUGCUAGAGUAAACAGAAGCCAAACAAACGGAGUUCCAUAUAUAUAGUCCAAUACCAAAAGUACAGAGUACUCGCACUGGCGAGUUAAAUAUACUAUAUACAUGAACUCAAAACAAAACAUCUACCUGCAGUAGGGGUACCUCUAGCUCGUCAUGUUUGGUAGGGCUCUAACUCGUGACGACCUUGCCUCGAUCCUAAUCUUCGACAGCAGCAGCCGACGACGGUGACUCUGCAAAAAUAGAGGGUAACAACAGGGCGUGAGAACUACUGUAAAAACAGGUAGUCCUCAGUGGGUGCCGUCCUCAACAAUAUCGGUCCACCCACUAAGUCUACAGAAGGGAGUAAGGAUAGUAGUAAACGCAGGAAUAAAAUCUACCGCUAUGAAUCACUACACUAUCAUGCUCUACACUAACCAAUUGUAGGAAAUAUCAAAUCUGACCCAAUCCAAUCGGGACUGUAAGUAUACCCGUCCCUGGGAUUGUGAACACACCUGUCCCUGCCCAGUUGUGACUAUCCAACUACCUCCACACUACUAGUCCGUGGAAAGCAAGUCCAACCGGCAUGAGCGACACCAACGCGAAAGCACAGCGCCCGUCUCCAGAGUGGCACUCGUGGGAGCUACCCAACCGAGUAUGCAGCGUAUCUCUGUCAAGCUCAAUCAGGCUCUCGAAAGCCAACGUCCAGUAACCAACUCAAACUGGUCUAACAACCAACAGGUAACGUGCCAUCGGCACAAUCCGACGCCAAAAAGGCGAUACGGGUCCACCGUCAACCCCGACGGCACCCAACAAUCCGGAACAGUCUGAACGCUACUGUAAAAAUACACUCGACAUCCUAGCACGAGCGUAACUGAAAACUAAACUACCUGAAAUACUCACUAUGAGGAUACUACAACAGUAUAAAAUAAUACAACGGCCCCUAGGGCUAAAUCAAGUAGUUUACAUGUGCCGAUCGUUAUCGCGUUUUCUCCUAAGUCAAAUCCAAGUCCAACAUGUAUAUUUAGGGUUUACUAAUCAUGUUCUCAAAUCGGAUUUCAUCAAGAUAUAAUUGACGAAAUUGAGCUACACAUGAUAUACAAAACUGAAAAUCAUACAUGUCGACUAAUACGAUACUUAGGAAUAAACCGAUAUAACCCACCUCGCGAGCUAAUCCCUG